GACGAACGCUGGCGGCGUGCUUAACACAUGCAAGUCGAACGGAAAGGCCCUGCUUUUGCGGGGUGCUCGAGUGGCGAACGGGUGAGUAACACGCGAGUAUACUGCACUUGACAUUGGGAUAACUCUAGGAAAAAGGGGCUAUUACCGGAUAGGAGAUAUUGCUGCAUGGUGGGGGUUGGAAAGAUUCGGCGGUUGUGGCUGGUCUGGAGGGUUAUCAGCUUGUUGGUGGGGUAGUGGAUUACCAAGGUUUUGACGGGUAGCCGGCCUGAGAGGGUGGCCGGCCACAUUGGUACUGAGAGACGGCCCAGUCUGCUACCGUAGGCAGUGGUGGGAAGUAUUGCGCAGUGGGGCGAAGCGUGAUGCAGCGACGUCGCGAGCGUGAUGACGUCCUUCGAGGUGUAAACCGCUUUCUCCUGUGACGAGGCGGUAUUGACGGUAAUUGGUAAGGAAGCACCGGCUAACUACGUG
rnacentral:rRNA from 1 species